rnacentral:sRNA from 1 species
UUCACAACACUACAUAAUCAACCAUAAAUCUAUUCAUGACAACAUCUUUGGUAGUGUUGACUUGGUUAUGGGCGUUAUGGUUAUGGGCCGAUCUUGACUGGAAGCUCACCUCUUAUGCCACUAUUGGAGAAUAAAUAAUCACUCGUGCCAUUCUUAUGUUUGGAAUAUUAUUAUUGAUUUUUAUUUAAAUCGAAAAAUGAGGAAAGGACGAAAAACCCUUGCGAAACCACAAAAACUACAAGAAAACUUAAUUUGUUGGGCUCGGGCCCAAAAAAAAAUGUAAAUACUCGGCUCAGUUGUAUUAUUUACAGAAAAAACCUAAGUAAAAACCUAAGUUCCCCCUUUUCACUUCUCGACUUCUUCCUCUUCUCUCCGUCGUCGUCUUCUUUCGUCUCCGACGAUACCACUUUCACCGGAAAAAUCAAUCUCUUCUAUUCUUCUUUCUUCUCCGUUUUCGUUCGUCUUUGUCUCUUUCAUAUCCGCAAAUUUAUUUUCCAAUGGCUAGAGUAAAAGACUCAUCUGGAGAAUAUGAAUCAACUAGGGUUGAAUCGACCGGCGAAAUUCCUCCAUCAGUCGACGAGACCGCCGCCGAGAUUCCCCAAAGAGAUGAAGAAGGCGCAGAGCUUCUUACAACAGAAGAGGAAGCCGGAGAAAUCCAGCCUACAACCGGCGAUUGUGACGCCGCCGAUUUGGGUAAUUCAAACGCCGUCGCAUGGGAAUCAAUUGACGAUCUUUCAAACCCAAAUGCCGAUUCUUGUGCAGAAGAAGAAGAGGCAACGAAUGCAGUUGUUCAACAUGAUGAUGGAGCAAAUAAGGUAUGAUAGAAGACCGUUAUUUUUUUGAUUAGGCUCGUUUUAGGAUAUUAUGCAUGCAUUGGUAAAUGAUUGGAUUUGUGAAUGGUGCUUCAGAUAAAACAAGUAGUACAACUAGGUCGUAAAUUUGUGAAUGGUCAUUCAGGAACAAGUAGUACAACUAGGUAGUUAAUGUGAAAUUGAAAGUAUUUUGAAUUGAAUAUGCAGGAUGAUGGUGAUGAUGAUAACCUGCCGCAGAAUAUGCAGGAUGGUGAUGAUGAUCUUCAGCCGCAGAAUAUGCAGGAUGAUGAUGAUGAUGAUGAUGAUAAUCAACCAUUGCCGCCAGAAGUUAUGUACUUUGAUCCAACUACCUACACGAAGGUGUGUAAGAUAGGAACGAGGUGUCAGUUGGUACAAACAGUGGAAUUUAUAGAGACUUUGGAUGCAGAACUGAAGUGGUUUAGGAAUCAUGACCAAUUUAAGCACAUAUUCCACAUGCCUAAGGAGCCCAAUCACAUGAUUCAAGGCAUGUGGAUGCUUAUGGUUCGCACGGCUAAGACAGAAUUGGCGAGAGAGUGUUGGUUUGUUGUCAAUGGAGUACCUAUAAGGUACUCAAUUAGAGAGCAUGCAUUGUUGACCGGUUUGAACUGCCGUGAGUACCCAAAAAACUAUAAGACUUUAGGCAGUUUGAAGUUUGUGGAGAAGUUGUUUAAGAGGACUGAGGACAUCAAGAUUAAAGACGUGGAAGAGAAGCUGGAAGAGUUUAAGAGUGAGAAGUCUACUGCUAGGUUGAAGUUGGCAAUUCUGUUAUUCUUAGCUAAGGUUAUGAAAGCUGAUUCUAAAGGGGAUUCGAAGAUAGAGGAGUUUUUGCUUAGGAUUGUGGAUAAUGUCAGAGCUUGUGAGACAUUCCCGUGGGGACGUUUUUCCUUUGAGCAGUGUAUGGAAGGGGUGCAGAGAGUAAUGAAGAACAUGAAAGGUGUGGUGAAACAAAAGGCACAGACUGCUUUUUAUGGAUUUAUUACUCCACUUGAGGUAAGUAGUCGAGUAAAUUAUAUGAGUGGCUAGAUUUUGUUAUUGUGAACUUUCAUUUACUUUUAUGUUUUUGUGUCUAGAUUCUGGCAUUUGAGUGCAUUCCGCAGCUUGGGAAGAGAUUUAGAGAAGUUGUACGUGCAGACAAGGAAUGUCCAAGAAUGUGCAAGCACAAGUUCAGUGAAAGUUGCAUGAAGGGAUUUACUUUGGAAGAAAUAAAUGAAGCACUUGGAGAUAUAACGGUUAGCUUUGUUCUCUUGAAAUCUAUGUUUAUAAUCUUUGUGGUGUUUGAAAUAUAUGUUUACUUGACAUGAUAUUUCAAGCAUCUUGGAACCUGAUAUGGAUGAGAGAAAAAUGUUGUCACGCGUUGUAGAGAAGCAUGUUGAUGAUGGUAUUGGAUAUAUCGAUCCAAUUGUUGAUAGUUGGAGAGAGAGGCUUAUCGUAGAGAAAAAGAAGAUUUUCUGGCGUAGUCUCUACCAAGCAGACAUUGAUGGUAGACGUAUUGAAACUGUUGAUGAUGUUCCAGCUGUACCUGAACCUGAAAUCCCUGGGACAUCGAUUCUCUCGUUCAAGGAAGCUAUGGAGAGAGGAUUUGACAAGCUCACGGACAAGCUUGCUGUGAUGGAUAGCGAAAUCAAGCGAAUUUGUUUGAGAGUACAAGGAAUAGAGGAAUAUGUGGCAGAUCAGCUUGAGAAAGAGGCAGAAAAAGACAAAUAUGAAGAUAUGUGUCCUGGUUCAGCUGCUGAUUUUGUGCCACCGUCUUAUCAGCCAAUGGAUACUCAGAGCAAGGCCUUGGUUAUUCACAGUGGAAUCCGUGACCCAGCACCUCCAACUAUUGAGUCUCUAAGUGAGUUUUUGUUGAACUUUUGUGUAGUGAUGCUUUCACAAUAGUUCUUACAUGUUUGGUUACAUAUUUUUGUAGGUGAUGGCAGCGAUGAGUCCGAUGAAGAGGAUAAGAAGAAGAAGAAGAAGAGGCAGAUAUCGAAGAAGAAGAGAAAGCAUGUUGGUCCUACUCUGGAAUCUGGGAAAAAACGUGGAAGGAAACCUUCCAAGUAUAAGGGGGAAGAGUUUACAGCUGAGGGGAAGCAAACGAGGAAGAGACUUUGACUUUUCUUUCUUGCUUAUGUGUGUGUGUGGACUCUUAGGUGUUUGGAGAAAUAUGACUUUCUUUUUGUGUAUUUGAGAAUGUUAUGCGUAGUUUAUGUGUAGAGGACAAACUUAUUUUCUGUAAUGGUUUAUGUGUUUUUUGAUUUUAUUAAAAUCAAAACGUUUGGCUAAGUUGUCCCGGUUGGCCGGUCAAUAAUACAAGAGUUGCUAAGUUGUCCCAGUUGGCCGGACAAUACACAUAACUUAAAAUACAAGAGUUGCUAAGUUGUCCCAGUUGGCCGGUCAAUACAUAUAACUUGAAAUACAAGAGUUGCUAAGUUGUCCCUGUUGGCCGGUCAAUACACAUAACUUAAAAUAGGUAAAUAACUAAGUUGUCCCAGUUGGCCGGUCAAUACACAUAACUUAAACUACAAGAAUAGCUAAGUUGUCCUUGUUGGCCGGUCAAUACACAUAACUUAAAAUAGGUAAAUACAUGUUUAAUUAGGUUCAAAUAUUACAUAAAAUCCAGAAACAUAACAUAAUUAGGUUCAAAUGCCAUACACCAUCCUCAAUAACAUAAAACACAUCAUAAUCACCAUGUAGAAAGUAAUGCCCUAAGCCUAUCAAUCUUGACUUCUUUGGCGAGUAACCUUUCUUUAAGGGUUUCAAUUUCGCUUUGCAUGAGUUGAAUAGUUUCCCGGAUGGACUCCAAAGCAUGAUUGCAUGCUAGUUGUCCAUGUCUUAGUGCGGAAUCAAGUUUGUGAUUUACCUUCUCAAGCUCCUCAGUUACCGCCUGAUCCCACCACUGAAUAAGGUGGUUUCGGGACUCGUACUCUUCAUCCUGCGAAAGAGAGAAGACUUCAUAAAUAUAAUUCACUUGUACUUUGUUGUUCCAAUGAAAUGAAAACACAAUAACUUACUUUAAGCAUUGGGCAUUUGUAGACUCUGUCGCCUUGCCUGUAACCAGUUUUGCACACUUCAAGUUUUACAGGCUUACCACAAAAACAUUUUUCUGGAACCCCCCAAUUUGCAUCGGCAUUCGCCUCUCCACUAUUCCAACUAGUUUCGGACGUGGAUGGUUGAGAGUAACUAUAGGGCAUCUACAAAACAGAGAAACCCGUAAGAAACCCUAGAUCUACUAAUUACGGCGGCUAAAAACCCGUAAGAAACCCUAGAUCUACUAAUUACGGCGGCUAAAAACCCGUAAGAAACCCUAUAUCAUACCUUGGUUGUUGUUGUUGUCGUCGGCGGUGGCAGAUAAUGGGAACCCUAAUUUCAGUUGUCGUCGCCGAUGUUGGGAAGGAAGAAGAGAGAAGAACGAGAGAGAGGAAGAAGAGAGAAGAACGAGAGAAGUGAAAUAGAAGAGAGAGGGAGAAAGAGAGAUUGAAGGAGAAUAAAUAGGUAGAAACUUUGUAGUGUGAACGCAAUAAUCGUAGUGUGAACGCAAGUCGUGGGGUCUAUUUUUUAAAAAAAUUGUAUUUAUUAGAAUAUUCAGAAUACACAUAGUUGUAUGUAUAUGUACAGUUGGCUGGAAUCACAAACAGUUGAACUUUUCUAAAUUUUGUGUUUUUGAAGUUGAAUCUGAAAAACCAACUCAUUUUUUUAGUUGGUCCCAUAAGUUUUAACAUAUUAAUGGAUUUUAAUAAGUUUUGAUAGAAUCAUAUUUAGUAAAUAACUGUUUUCAUACAUAAUGUAUGUACAUUGGACAAUCAUGAACUAUAUGUUCCUUGUUAUACAUAGGUGAUUUAUUAGGAAACCAGUUUAUGAUCAAGUUUAGUAAUAACAAUGUUGUAAUAUCAUAUUUUGGAUUUAUUCAAUGUUUAGAUGUUGAUAAUAGCUGAAAAUAUUGAGAAUUAUUUUAUCAUUUUGUUAAUCCAAAAAUACAGAUACAUAUAUCAGUUGUCUCAGUUGAACUUAAAAAAAUACAUUAAACUUGCAAAUAAUUCAAUAAACUUGCAAAUAAUUCAAUACAAAUACGAAAACAUAAAACAUAGUACAUCACACUUACAAAUAAUAUAAUACAAAUACAAAUGAACUUAGUUGUAUUGGUUGAACCCUUUCUCCUGUUGGCCAGGUUCUUCCGGUUGAACCCUUUCUGCAUCAGACUUAAUCUUCCUCAGGCUGCAGCCAAGCCUCCAAGUUUAUUCCAGGUUGCGAUUUUCUCCUCUUUCGUGCUUCACCAGCUGAUGGAAACCGCUUCUCUUGAUUUCGUCCUGGUACUUUUGGUGUGUAUUCCGGCGGAAAGGCAACUAACUCUUUAAUAUGGGCAGGAAGAACCCAAACCGACUCAUGUGGGACUACAUACAACGUCCGGUAAUAGGCCAAUGACCAACUAUCUAUCAAGUAAUACAUAAAGCAGAGUCCGUAGAUGGUUGUAUUCGCAUUUCUCCCUUUCUUGAGGGCGAGGUGCCUUGCUGCGGCCAUAGCAUGGACACACGGGAUCUUGUCUAUAUCAAAACAUUUGCAUGAACAACUUUUCAUUUUCAAAUCCACCAGAAAACUUACCGAGUUGAGAUCAAUCACGUUGUAUUCUUGGUUGUAACUGUUAAGCUCAAACACAGUUAAUUUGGCUGCAACUGGACAUCUAAUGUGCAAUAUGUUCUCCACAGUAGGCACAACUUGUACUGUGAUUGGACAAGAACCUGAAUCUUGCCUAUGCUCGUUGAACCAUUCAGAAAACUUAGAAAUCAUCACAUCAAUCAUUGGUAACAAGUGAUAUUUUCUCGCUUUUUUAAACACACCAUUAAUGGACUCCGCAGAAUUACUAGUGUCAAUGUUAUACUUGUCUCCUUUAAAAUGGCACCUCGACCAUUUCUCAAACCCUACUUUCAUAAGAAAGUCAGCAGGUUUAGGCCAUAAACUUGUAAAAUGACCAAACUCUUUCUCGAACUCACUCUCAGUAUAUGCAUGAGCACAAUCCCUGAACUUGACAGCAGCUCCAUCCUUGUCAAUUUUCACACGAUCUCUCAUGUUUUGACACAAAUGCCAUAUACAAGCUGCAUGAAGCGCAUUCGGGUACACCGUCUUGACAGCCUUCUUUAUGCUUUGAUGCCUAUCACUAAUAAAGACCAAUCCGGGAACAUCCGAAUAUACAGUUUUCAGCUUUUCUAAGAACCAAAUCCAACUUACAUCCUUCUCGCUAUCAAUGAUUCCAAACGCAAGUGGAUAAUGAUGAUGAUUAGGAUCUUGUGCUGUUGCAAUAACCAACAUCCCACCAUACACAGUUUUAAGAUGAGUUGCAUCCACAACUAUCACUUUCCGCAUUGCCCUAAAACCUUCAAUGCAAGCGCCUAAUGCAAUGAAGAGGUACUUGAACUUUUUCUCUCCUUCCAACUCCACAUAAGUUACUGUCCCUGGAUUUACCUUCUCUAACAUGUAAAGAUAAGAAAAUAACAUCGUGUAGCUUCUUUCCGGAGUCCCUCGCACAUCACUAACAUGUAGCAUUUUGCCUCUUAAGGCAGUGGAGUAUGAACAAUGCACCCCAAGUCUUCCUCUUACAAUCGACAUAAUGUUUUUUGGAGUUGGGGUCUCUAAAUUUCCGGGAUAGUCACAAUGCAAAACCGAUGCUAUUAAUCUUGGUGUGCCUCGCUGUAUACUGUUGCUUGUAGUCUCAACACUCCGAGAGCAUGUAUGCAUCUUUCUAUGCACUCUAACACUCCAAAAAUGAGAUUUCUUAGUUCUCGCAACUCUUAGAUACCAAGUACACCCUUUAGAAGCUUGGCGGCAUCGUAGCAUAAGUCUCAACGGGUCUCACUUAAUAGUAUAGACUCCAAAAACUUCUUUCUUUGCAGCUCUGUUAACCAAUUCCCACACAGCCUCCCUUGAACAAAAUUCUUGACCAAUUUCAAUACCCGUACCAUCAUCCCAUUCUAUAACCUGCGGAGUAACUUCUACACUUCGUGGAAUAUCGUGAAUAUCAUCAUAAUCAAUCCUAUCAUCCUCAUCUUCUUCCUCAACAGAAUUCACCGGCCUUUCCAUCGGCCUUUCGACAGCCACGAUCUCCGUACCUACUACAUUCUCACAAUCAUUCACAUCAUUAUCAUAUCCAUCAUGCACCAUCUCACAUACUUCAUUUAAAACAUUUACACCAACUGAACUUCGACGCUCCGGUAUAGAAAUUUCCUCUCUCCUCUCAACUCCUAUACCAUUUAAUUCCUCCACAUGCAAAACAGGAAUCCGACUCUCUUCAUCAGAUUCUGUUAAAAAUAUGAAGACAUCCUCAUCAUCUACAAUAUAUGUCUCUCUCCUAACUUUAAACAGAUUGUAACUCAGUUUCAACUUGACAGAAGCUUCAUCAAUCGCAACCUUCUUCAUGAUCUUGUCAACUAACAUCGAAUAGCUAAUCUUCUCCAAACUACUCGUCUUAAACGAUAUAGCAUAUAGUGAAUUUUUACCAAUCCAGCCAUUCACUUCAGAAUAGUAUCCUCCAAAGUCAAAAUGUACCUUAGUGUGGAUCUUCUUCUUCAUCGCUCCUGAAAAUAUAACCAGUUCAACUCCAAUCAAACAUUUUAAUAGUUAUACCACAUGUACUCUUAUCAUACGUUGAAAUCAAUCUCUCGUCGCACUCGAUUCUACUGAACCUAAUUCGUUACCUUUCAAUUGAUUUCCAAUGUUAAUACAUACCUAUUCGUUAAACUAAUUGGUUAAUCUAAACUUUGCAAACACAAACCCCCCAAAUCUUUAAUAUGAAAUCUCGGAAUUCAAAUUCAACUCACAUUCAACCUACAUUCCUUUGCUCAUCACCUCAAAUAACGUUUCGGCAACCUCUAAUCGAUUACUCUUUACUUUGCAAACCAAUCAUCAAACUAUCAAAUUGAAUCUGGGAAUUAUAUAGAAUUCAAAAUCCCAAUCUAAAAUCACAAUGCACCAAUGUCAAAGGAAAUAUGAGAAGAAACUGACCUAAUUCGUUGGCUUUUACGCCGGAUUUCAAGUCGGCGGCGGCCGGAAUCGAUGGUGGCCGACGAAGAAGAUGAACGUCGACCAAAGAAGAAGAACACGACGACGAAGAGGAGAGAGAACGGAGGAUCUCGAUUCUUUAUUUAGCUUUUGAAUUUCUUUUUCAUUUUUUUAAUCAACUCAUUAAGGGUACAACUGGUAUAUCACAUUUUCGGUGGCAUUCAGAUUAACUGAUGGCAGUCCAGAUCAGUUUUUUUAAAAAAGUGGCAUAAGUGAUAAAAGUUCAUCUUGACUUGGGUUAUGGUUUCGAGAUUGAUUUCUUGACCUAACUCAACUUGCUUGUUCUUGAAGAAACUGCUUUUAGUUUCUUUCUUUUUUUAAACUGCUUUUAGUU